rnacentral:ribozyme from 1 species
CUGAAGACAAGGAUACUGUUGCAGCAUUGGAAGCCCGGCUCAAGAAGCAAGCUCAAAAAGCUGGAGGAGGAUUAUGCUGCUCGACUGAAGAAGCAA